rnacentral:rRNA from 1 species
CUCGCGUGUCUAUUACCAGAAGCGACGGCAGGAUGAAGGUCAGACUAAAGAUCUUACCUGACGAGCCGAGAGGUGGUGCAUGGCGACCGUCAGCUCGUGGUGCGAACUGUCCGGUUAAGUCCGGUAACGAGCGAGACCCUUAUGAAUAGUUGCAACCGGUUUAGCGAUAAACCGGGCACUCUAUUUGGACCGCCUCUGUUUAAAGAGGAGGAAGGAGGGGGCGACGAUACGUCAGUAUGCCCUGAAUCUCCUGGGCUACACGCGGCAUACAAAGGUCGAUACAAUGAGAUGCAAUGCCGAAAGGACAAAGACCAAACGACCCCCUAAAACCCGAACCUAACGUUCGGUAGUUGAGGGCUGAAACUCCGCCCUCAUGAAGAUGGGAUCCCUAUAAUCGCUUGUCACUAUCGAGCGGUGAAUAC